rnacentral:rRNA from 1 species
GAUGAACGCUAGCGGCAGGCCUAACACAUGCAAGUCGAGGGAGAAGCCCUUUCGGGGGCAGAAACCGGCGCACGGGUGCGUAACGCGUAUGCAACCUACCUUUCACAGGGGGAUAGCCCGAAGAAAUUUGGAUUAAUACCCCAUAAUAUUAUUGGAUGGCAUCAUUUGAUAAUUAAAACUGCGGUGGUGAAAGAUGGGCAUGCGUCCUAUUAGCUAGUUGGAGUGGUAACGGCACCCCAAGGCUACGAUAGGUAGGGGUCCUGAGAGGGAGAUCCCCCACAAUGGUACUGAGACAGGGACCAGAAUCCUACGGGAGGCAGCAGUGAGGAAUAUUGGGCAAUGGUCGGAAGACUGAACCAGCCAUGCCGCGUGCAGGAAGAAUGCCUUAUGAGUUGUAAACUGCUUUUAUAGGGGAAGAAUAAGGGUUACGUGUACGUUGAUGACGGUACCAUAUGAAUAAGCAUCGGCUAACUCCGUG